GCGGGAUUAGCUCAGUUGGUAGAGCGUCAGCUUCCCAAGCUGAAUGUCGUCGGUUCGAGCCCGAUAUCCCGCU
rnacentral:tRNA from 1 species